rnacentral:rRNA from 1 species
UACGUAGGGUCCGAGCGUUGUCCGGAAUUACUGGGCGUAAAGAGCUCGUAGGUGGUUUGUCGCGUUGUUCGUGAAAACUCACAGCUUAACUGUGGGCGUGCGGGCGAUACGGGCAGACUUGAGUACUGCAGGGGAGACUGGAAUUCCUGGUGUAGCGGUGGAAUGCGCAGAUAUCAGGAGGAACACCGGUGGCGAAGGCGGUUCUCUGGGCCUUACCUGACGCUGAGGAGCGAAAGCAUGGGGAGCAAACAGG